ACUUACUUACUACUACUACUACCUACCUACUCUCUCUCUCUCUCUCUCUCUCUCUCUCUCUCUCUCUCUCUCUCUCUCUCUCUUCCGUCGUCGUAUCACUCUGUUUCCCUCCGCCGGCGACGACCUCUUCCGUCGGCAACGUCCUCCACCAUAUCCCAAGCUUUCUGAUCUUCACUACUGGAGUUUGAGGUUUUAAGUAUGGAAAAGUUUGUGGGAGAAAGCAACAAUAGUUUGAGAGAUCAAAAGAAGAUUUGAAACCUAAAUAUUAUAUGGAGU